GACAGAGGUUGCAAACGUUGUUCGGAAUUACUGGGCGUAAAGGGCUCGUAGGCGGCCAACUAAGUCAGACGUGAAAUCCCUCGGCUUAACCGGGGAACUGCAUCUGAUACUGGAUGGCUUGAGUUCGGGAGAGGGAUGCGGAAUUCCAGGUGUAGCGGUGAAAUGCGUAGAUAUCUGGAGGAACACCGGUGGCGAAGGCGGCAUCCUGGACCGACACUGACGCUGAGGAGCGAAAGCCAGGGGAGCAAACGGG
rnacentral:rRNA from 1 species